AUGUGUGAGAAACUUAUUCCUGCGAUCCAAGAGCGCUGGCCGGACGAAGAUGAAGGACGGACAAUCUAUAUCCAACAAGAUAAUGCCACGCCACAUAUUCUUCCCGAUGACCCGGUUUUCCGACAAGUCAUAGAACAAACUGAUUUGGAUAUUAAGUUGCUUCAACAGCCUCCAAACAGUCCCGACAUGAACAUUCUUGAUCUCUGCAUAUUCAGGUCUCUCCAGUCCCACACCGAUAGCAGAGCACCUCAAAGCAUCAGGGAACUGAUAGAAGGUGUGGAGAAGGAAUAUCGAAACUAGCCGGUUGAUAAGCUAGCUAGAAGCUUCGUGACGCUGCAGUCAUGCAUCCGAGAGGUAAUGAGAAACAAGGGAGCGAUAAACUACUCGAUCCCUCACAUGAACAAGGAACGCCGGCAGGCAGAAGGACGGCUUCCUAUAGCUCUAUCUAUCGACCGUGAGCUAGUUGGACAGACCAUAGCCUUUAUAGAAGAGGCAGAAGCAAUCUUAGCAGCAGAAAAAGAGCAGAAGCAGCAGGAAAAGAGCAGCAAGAAAAGAGCCGCAUCAGGCUUGAAGAAGCAGAAACACCCUUCGAAUACUAGCAGCCUCCAAGCAGCAGGAAAAGAGAACCAGGAGCCUUGA
rnacentral:rRNA from 1 species